GUUAGAGCGUAGUAUAGUGGUUUAAGCAUUGGACUAGGACUCUGAUGACCAGGGUUCAAAUCCCUGCUCAGACA